rnacentral:lncRNA from 1 species
AUGUGCUCCCGGCACCCCCAUGCCAUGGAGCCGGGCACCUGCUCCAGCUUAUGGGGUGGUACAGAGCGGCCGUGGCUGCCUGGCUCUGUCCCCAUGCAGCUCCAGCUGCCCGCAGCCGGCAGCCCUGUCCCAUUGGGGCUGUGCCGGCGCCAGGCCGGGCUGCAGGGAGCCUCAGAGCCGCCUUUGUGCCGGGAGCUCCCAGUGCAUGUGCGGGCGCUGGGAACCAGCUGGCGGCACCAGGAUCACUUCCCACCCCAAAAGCACAGAGACCCCUGGGGGGCACUUCCAGGACUUUCACGGCCGUGUGGGGCUGUGGGGCAGGGAUGCCCGUGUGCAUCCUAUCUCAUCCCAUGCCCGUUUCCUCCCAACCCACGUGCUCCUGCUGUAGCAAUGACACCUCGCUACCCCCAUGCCCUCCUCGUGCCUCAGUCUCCCCCAUGCCAAGGCCAUGGCUCUCCCGGCUUUCCUUCCUUCCCGGGAAAGGGGAGGGAGCUUCCCCUGUUGCUUCCCCACAUCCCCGCAGCAGAGCCAGGAGACUGUGACGAGCUCCGGGUGCGCGGAGCCAGCGGCAGAUUCCUGGCACCGGCAGGGCGGCCGGCAGCCAUCGCCCGCCUCCUCCUCCCCGCUCAGCCCUGCUCGCUCCCCGCCGUUCCCCCCAGGCUGCACCACGGUGGUGGGCACCAGGCGGUGACGCUGGCACGGCCACGCAGCCCCCAGCCCUCCCCUGUCACCGGAUCCCAGGCCAACAGGGACAACGGGAGAGAGGAGCAGGGACAGGCCUUCCCAUGGUGUCUGCUCCCUGCCCACCACCGCUGCUGCCCUCAUCAGCCUGGGCACAUGUGGGUGAAGACCAGGAUCCGUGCUGGGUGCUGCUCCCAUACCCUCAGCCACGGCACCUCCCUGGGACCCCAGGUCUUGUUCCCAUGCUUGUGGGAACGGUCCUGUGGUCCUGCUCUGGGAUUGCCCUCUGCACUGGGAUUUGGGGAUGCCAAAGGCACAUGGUGUGGGGUGCGUGAGUCUGACAUCACAUGGCGCAGCGCAGAUUUGGGGGGAUGCUGAAGGGAGAUGUGCCUUUUGUCUGAAGUCAGACACCUCCUUGGGGUGUGGAGGAAAUGAGGGCUUGCAGGGGCCUUAUGUCAUGGGGGAGUGUGGGGAGGGAUGUGGAUUGGGAUGUACUCAUAGUGUCCAGUGCACAGGAAUACCCCAAGUCCCACAGAGGGGGGUGUGGUUUGGGUUCUGCAUUGCCCCAGUGAGUGUUGUGUGGAUGUGAGGGGGUCCCCUGCAUGCCAAGCUUGACCAGGGGCAUGUGGGUGAAAGGGUCCAGGGUCCAGUGGGAGCUCCAUACCCGAAGUACUCCACGUCUGGGAGGGGACCAACGGUUCAGGGGGGGUCCCAGCCCAGAGAUGCUCCAUGCCAAGGGGUCUCCGUGGUGCUUCACAGACAGGGGUCUCCCUAGCAUACCUAUGGGCGGAGGUACACUAUUCUCCCAGAGCGGGGGCUCAGUGGCUGGGGGGGUCCCUAUGCCCGGUGGGCCGGGACCC